UCGGCCCCGGUAAAGUGGCGCACGGGUGAGUAACACGUGGGUAACCUGCCCUCGAGCGGGGGAUAACAUUCCGAAAGGAGUGCUAUUACCGCAUAGGACCACGACCUCGAAAGGGGUUGAGGUGAAAGCUGGCCUCUGUACACAUGCUAGCACUUGAGGAUGGGCCCGCGGGGCAUCAGGUAGUUGGUGAGGUAAUGGCUCACCAAGCCUAAGACGUCUAGCUGGUCUGAGAGGAUAAUCACCCACCCUGGAACUGAGACACGGUCAAAACUUUUACGGGACCCAGCUGGGGGGAAUCUUGCGCAAUGGACAAAAGUCUG
rnacentral:rRNA from 1 species